CUCGGUGAUAAUAGCGGAGGGGUCACACCCGUUACCAUUUCGAACACGGUAGUUAAGUCCUCCAGCGCUGAUGGUACUUGGACCAGAGGUCCUGGGAGAGUAGGUCGUCGCCGGGA
rfam:Desulfonispora thiosulfatigenes DSM 11270 genome assembly, contig: Dest_Contig00029